AGCAGCCGCGGUAAUUCCAGCUCCAAUAGCGUAUAUUAAAGUUGUUGCAGUUAAAAAGCUCGUAGUUGAAUUUCGGGGUUAGUAGGUUGGUCAUGCCUCUGGUAUGUACUGGUCUCACUGAUUCCUCCUUCCUUAUGAACCGUAAUGCCAUUAAUUUGGUGUUGCGGGGAAUUUGGACUGUUACUUUGAAAAAAUUAGAGUGUUUAAAGCAAGCUAACGCUUGAAUACAUUAGCAUGGAAUAAUGAAAUAGGACGUUCGAUCUUAUUUUGUUGGUUUCUAGGAUUGACGUAAUGAUUAAUAGGGAUAGUUGGGGGCAUUAGUAUUCAAUUGUCAGAGGUGAAAUUCUUGGAUUUAUUGAAGACUAACUACUGCGAAAGCAUUUGCCAAGGAUGUUUUCAUUAAUCAAGAACGAAAGUUAGGGGAUCGAAGACGAUCAGAUACCGUCGUAGUCUUAACCAUAAACUAUGCCGACUAGGGAUCGGAUGACGUUAAUUUUUUAAUGACUCA
rnacentral:rRNA from 1 species